UACGAAGGGUGCUAGCGUUGUUCGGAAUCACUGGGCGUAAAGCGCGCGUAGGUGGCUAUGCAAGUCAGGGGUGAAAUCCCACAGCUCAACUGUGGAACUGCCUCUGAAACUGCGUAGCUAGAGUGUCGGAGGGGAUAGCGGAAUUGCUAAUGUAGAGGUGAAAUUCGUAGAUAUUAGCAGGAACACCGGUGGCGAAGGCGGCUAUCUGGACGACAACUGACACUGAGGCGCGAAAGUGUGGGGAUCAAACAGG
rnacentral:rRNA from 1 species